rnacentral:rRNA from 1 species
UAUGGCUCAGAUUGAACGCUGGCGGCGUGCUUAACACAUGCAAGUCGCGCGUGAAAGGACUUCGGUCCGAGUGAAGCGGCGCACGGGUGAGUAACGCGUGGAUGAUCUACCCAUGAGUUAGGAAUAACGGCUGGAAACGGUCGCUAAUACCAAAUACGCUCCGAUUUCAACUUCGGGGGAAAGGUGGCCUCUGCUUGCAAGCUACUGCUCAUGGAUGAGUCCGCGUCCCAUUAGCUAGUUGGUGGGGUAACGGCCCACCAAGGCGACGAUGGGUAGCCGGUCUGAGAGGAUGACCGGCCACACUGGGACUGGAACACGGCCCAGACUCCUACGGGAGGCAGCAGUGGGGAAUAUUGCGCAAUGGGCGAAAGCCUGACGCAGCGACGCCGCGUGAGGGAUGAAAGGUCCUCGGAUCGUAAACCUCUGUCAGGAGGGAAGAACCGCCACGGUGCUAAUCAGCCGUGGUCUGACGGUACCUCCAAAGGAAGCACCGGCUAACUCCGUGCCAGCAGCUGC